AAGAAGAAAUUCCACCUCUGGACUGCAGCAUCAGCUCAUAUAACCUACUAGUCUGUUUCUCUGGAGAACCCCUGACACAGAUGUUCUGGAAAGUGGAAAUCAUCCCUCUCAUUCUGCAGAUGAGAAGCAUAAAUGGUGUGGCCAGAAUUUGGACUCCGGUCUGGUGCCAGGACUAGGAGAAGAACACACCCUGUCAAGCCCAAAGAGAGUGAAAAACACAUCACUCUCGGAUGAUCAGAUAGACUGCACAUCUGAGACCUGAAGCUUAAUGAGGAGCCUCCAGGCCAAGCCCCACCCAGCUCCCCCAGCCCAAGGUAGUCCAAAGGUGUGUGAGAAAUAAAUGCUGAUUAUUGUGUGUCACUGA
rnacentral:lncRNA from 1 species